AUCAAAUAUCGCAUGUGCAGAAAUAAUAUUACUUUUUAGUCCCAAUAUUUUUGGCUUAUCGACAAGUACAUUCUGGAAACAGUUUUCGUCCCAAUCAUAAAUCAAUGAAAUGUAUCUCAAAGACACAAAAUUCUUUUUCGUUUUUGGAAUCUGUGCUCCAACAUAUUUUGUGUGAUAACAUUUUUACGAAAUUUCUUCGAGAGUUUUAGUGUAAGGAUCCCCCAUAAUAUCCCGGAGCUGCUAUUUUCAAGGAUUUUUCUAAUGUUUUUAUCAGAAUUGGAAGGAAAAUCCUCUAUUACCUUGUAAUGAUGGCAAUGCCAAUUUCAAAAACUAAUUUCACUACAACUAGGUCAAACUUAUCAGGAGAAAAAGCUUUUUUAUUCCUCCAAGACAAUCGACUGGAAUUAGUUUGACUACUGCGGUUGACUUCCAGUUAAUGUUUAACAAAAGAAAAUGUUAGGAUAAUACCUUGGAGUAAGAACAUUCGACAAAAUAGUUUGCUAAUAAGUGCUCUUAUUGUAACAAUUUUUAAACGUGAAUUUUAGAUAAUUCAUAAGAUAGAAAUACGUUGAGAAAAUUGUAUCUAUAACCCCAUAUUUUUAGUUAUAUAAAUAUUAUGAUGAAUUUUCAAAUUGGGAAAUACAUUAAUACAUAUCAAACCUAGUCAAAAUUAA